AAGCCUGAUCCAGCCAUGCCGCGUAUGUGAAGAAGUUCUUCGGAUUGUAAAGCACUUUAAGUUGGGAGGAAGGGUUUCUGGCUAAUAUCCAGGAAUUUUGACGGUAUCUUAGGAAUAAGCACCGGCUAAGUCCGUGCCAGCAGCCGCGGUAAUACGGAGGGUGCAAGCGUUACUCGGAAUCACUGGGCGUAAAGAGCACGUAGGCGGCCUUGCAAGUCAGAUGUGAAAUCCAACGGCUUAACCGUUGAACUGCAUUUGAAACUGCAAGGCUAGAGUAUGGGAGAGGUAGGUGGAAUUCUCGGUGUAGGGGUAAAAUCCGUAGAGAUCGAGAGGAAUACUCAUUGCGAAGGCGACCUGCUGGAACAUUACUGACGCUGAGGUGCGAAAGCGUGGGGAGCAAACA
rnacentral:rRNA from 1 species